rnacentral:rRNA from 1 species
GCAUAACGCGAAGAACCUUACCAGGUCUUGACAUCCCUCUGACCGGUCUAGAGAUAGGCCUUCCCUUCGGGUCGAGAGGAGACAGGUGGUGCAUGGUUGUCGUCAGCUCGUGUCGUGAGAUGUUGGGUUAAGUCCCGCAACGAGCGCAACCCUUCGUAACUUAGUUGCCAGCACCUCGGGUGGGCACUCUAGGUUGACUGCCGGUGACAAACCGGAGGAAGGCGGGGAUGACGUCAAAUCAUCAUGCCCCUUACUGACCUGGGCUACACACGUACUACAAUGGCCGGUACAACGGGUCGCGAAGCCGCGAGGCGGAGCUAAUCUUAUCAAAGCCGGUCUCAGUUCGGAUUGCAGGCUGCAAUUCGCCUGCAUGAAGUCGGAAUUGCUAGUAAUCGCGGAUCAGCAUGCCGCGGUGAAUACGUUCCCGGGUCUUGUACACACCG